GACGAACGCUGGCGGCGUGCUUAACACAUGCAAGUCGAACGGAAAGGCCCUGCUUUUGUGGGGUGCUCGAGUGCCGAACGGGUGAGUAACACGUGAGUAACCUGCCCUUGACUUUGGGAUAACUUCACGAAACUGGGGCUAAUACCGGAUAGGAGCUACUGCUGCAUGGUGGGGGUUGGAAAGUUUCGGCGGUUGGGGAUGGACUCGAGGCUUAUCAGCUUGUUGGUGGGGUAGUGGCGUACCAAGGGUUCGACGGGUAGCCGGCCUGAGAGGGUGACCGGCCACAUUGGGACUGAGAUACGGCCCAGACUCGUACGUGACGCAGCAGUGGGGAAUAUUGCACAAUGGGCGGGAGCCUGAUGCAGCAACGCUGCGUGCGGGAUGACGGCCUUCGGGUUGUAAACCGCUUUCGCCUGUGACGAAGCGUGAGUGACGGUAAUGGGUAAAGAAGCACCGGCUAACUACGUG
rnacentral:rRNA from 1 species